UGCCCAGAUAGCUCAGUCGGUAGAGCAGGGGAUUGAAAAUCCCCGUGUCGGCGGUUCGAUUCCGUCUCUGGGCACCAC
rnacentral:tRNA from 1 species